GGCACCUGAUCAUUCAUGCCGCGUGAGUGAAGAAGGCUUCGGGUUGUAAAGCUCUUUUGUCAGGAAAGAAACACCGGCUCUAACACAGUCCGGGAAUGACGGUACCUGAAGAAUAAGCACCGGCUAACUACGUGCCAGCAGCCGCGGUAAUACGUAGGGUGCGAGCGUUAAUCGGAAUUACUGGGCGUAAAGCGUGCGCAGGCGGUUGUACAAGACAGGCGUGAAAUCCCCGGGCUUAACCUGCGAAUGGCGCCUGUGACUGUACGGCUAGAGUGUGUCAGAGGGGGGUAGAAUUCCACGUGUAGCAGUGAAAUGCGUAGAUAUGUGGAGGAAUACCAAUGGCGAAGGCAGCCCCCUGGGAUAACACUGACGCUCAUGCACGAAAGCGUGGGGAGCAAACAGGAUUAGAUACCCUGGUAGUCCACGCCCUAAACGAUGCUGACUAGUUGUUCGGGAUUUACAUCCUGAGUAACGUAGCUAACGCGUGAGGUCAGCCGCCUGAGGAGUACGGUCGCAAGAUUAAAACUCAAAGGAAUUGACGGGGACCCGCACAAGCGGUGGAUGAUGUGGAUUAAUUCGAUGCAACGCGAAAAAGCUUACCUACCCUUGACAUGUCACUAACGAAGUAGAGAUACAUUAGGUGCUCGUAAG
rnacentral:rRNA from 1 species